GAUGAACGCUGGCGGCGUGCCUAAUACAUGCAAGUCGAGCGAACAGACGAGGAGCUUGCUCCUCUGACGUUAGCGGCGGACGGGUGAGUAACACGUGGAUAACCUACCUAUAAGACUGGAUAACUUCGGGAAACCGGAGCUAAUACCGGAUAAUAUAUUGAACCGCAUGGUUCAAUAGUGAAAGACGGUUUUGCUGUCACUUAUAGAUGGAUCCGCGCCGCAUUAGCUAGUUGGUAAGGUAACGGCUUACCAAGGCAACGAUGCGUAGCCGACCUGAGAGGGUGAUCGGCCACACUGGAACUGAGACACGGUCCAGACUCCUACGGGAGGCAGCAGUAGGGAAUCUUCCGCAAUGGGCGAAAGCCUGACGGAGCAACGCCGCGUGAGUGAUGAAGGUCUUCGGAUCGUAAAAUUCUGUUAUUAGGGAAGAACAAAUGUGUAAGUAACUAUGCACGUCUUGACGGUACCUAAUCAGAAAGCCACGGCUAACUACGUG
rnacentral:rRNA from 1 species